rnacentral:rRNA from 1 species
UACAGAGGAGCCAAGCGUUGUCCGGAUUGACUGGGCGUAAAGCGCACGCAGGCGGACGCGCGCGUGGGGUGUGAAAUCUGCCCGCUUAACGGCCAGGCGCCAUCCCAUACGGCGCGUCUGGAGUGAUGCAGAGGUCGAUGGAAUUGCCGGUGUAGUGGUGAAAUGCGUAGAGAUCGGCAGGAACACCCAGGGGGAAACCAGUCGACUGGGCAUCUACUGACGCUGAGGUGCGAGAGCGUGGGGAGCGAACCGG